UAAGGUCCCAGGGGCUGUUUUAUUAUUAUUAAAAGUAAAUGUCUUGCAAUGCACAAAAUGAAAUCCUAAAUAGUAAGGUAGUUCAGGAAAAGAAGAACAAAAGCGAAAUCCCUAAUUGGAAACUAAUUUGAUGUCUUUCCCGUUGGCUUCCCUGGUCGAUCUUUAUAUUGUGGUCUUGUGGUUGAAACUUGUGCGAUUGCUGCUGAUUCGUCUGUUGUUUCUUGAAGAUGUUGUUCUCCAUUCACUUGUAUGCUGGUAUGGCUUACCAUUUGUGUCACCAAUCAAUCUGUUGGUGUCUACAAUCAAUGGGACUGGAGCUGUAAUUGAGAGCAUUCAUGUGCUUUGCAUUUGCACCAAAGAAAGAGAAGAAGUAAAUCUCAGCACUUCAUCUAUUAGUCCUUACUGUUUUCGAUGCAGUAGCCCUUGUUUCCCUGCUCGCUUUACAUGGGAAUAACAGGAAGCUCUUCUGCGGUAUCCCUGCCGCUAUCUUCUCCAUCAUUAUACCUUUUUUGUUUUUGCUGUUGUAGCUCUCGUUUCCAUGCUCGCUUCACAUGGAAAUAGCAGAAAACUCUGCUGCGGUAUCGCUGCCACUAUCUUCUCUACCAUUAUGUAUGGAUCUCCUCUAUCCAUCAUAGUAAGCUCCUUAACACCAUUCUUAACUCUUUUUCUCCAGUUAAUGAAAGCUCUUUUUUUCAUUCUCUUGGCUAUACUUUAUAAUUUCUGUAAACUUGAUAGAAAGUUCCAGACUUUAGGUGUUCAGUUUUUAAGGGCUAAUGUUAGAAUAUCCAGAUCUUAUAACAAAGAGUACUUUAACAUCAUUUCUUGUUCUUUUUUCUACACUCACAAUUCUUGUUAAGCUGACGGAAAAGUCCCAAAAUUGGAUGGGGAGUUGGAUGAGUUGUGCUAUUAGAUGUUCAAUUAUGACAUAAGGGAUAUUCCUACUUUCGAAAAUGUUUGAUUGCUUUCAAUAAUUAAGUCACUUUACCAUGUAGCAGCUAUAAACUCGAGAACAAUUUUAUGUAUACAGAGACUGGUCAUCAAGACGAAGAGCGUGGAGUUCAUGCCAUUGUUCUUGUCAUUGUUCUUGUUCCUAUGUGGCGCUUCCUGCUUCGCCUUUGGCCUUCUUGGCAAGGGCCCCUUUGUUGCUAUUCCACAUGGAUUUGACUUUGGCUUAGGAACAGUGCAACUUAUCUUAUAUGCAAUAUACUGUGACAAGAAGGGAUCUACCUAGAAAUCGACCCCUGAUGAGUCCUUGGAGAUGAGAAAUAACAAAAGUACUUAGCAAGUCUCACCAUGAGGAGAAGCAAUCUUAGCUUCCAUAACAAGUCAAAACCUGAGCAAGUUUAGACAAAUGCUUAAUUCUCGAAUGAUGUUCUGGAAUCUGUAUUUUUUAGGUGCUAAUACCCUUUUGAUUUUCUUUAGAGAUCUUUGACAUCUGUUUGUUCUAUUUAAAUUUGGACUAGUUCUCAGAUGUUUUUUUACACUUUUUCUCCUCAUUGCGGCUGAAAUAAACCGCGAUCCUUCUUUUUGUUC